rnacentral:lncRNA from 1 species
CUAAAUCCCAGUUUAAUUUUUCUUGUUGUGUUGACUAUCCACCUGCAAUGAACAGACAAUAUGUUCUAGUGUAUCUCCCUUUAUGUACAUAUUUUAAAUUCUUUUUCUUGUACUUCUAUUACAAAAGGUUGAGAAGAUGGAAGUGGUUAUGCACACAAAGGAAGAGUAUUUGCUCUGCAGUCUGAUGUUUAUUAGGUUUUAAAUCUGUUUGAAAUAAUGAAUUGCAAUCUACUGUAAUUAAAUAUAAAAAAUUGAGUGUUAUUAACUAGGCAAACGAAGAACAAUUUGCAAAGUUUGUAUUUUCUGCCACAGAUAUUUCCCUGCAUAUGAGAACUCUGUAUGCUAACCCUUAAGCACUCUAUGUCAAUCACAAAAGGCACUUUUCAUUUUCAUAUGGGAGAAUUGCAUUUUUAAAUUCAAUGUAACAUUAUAUUAUUUGAAGUUUAGAAUUAUUGUAUGAAAAACUUAUGCAAGAAUUUUAGCUGUAAGCCCCAUAUUUCCCUCAUUGGAGAUAUUUUGCUACACACCAGUUCCAGCAGAAAGGUUAAUAUUGGUGGUAUCACUGAAUGAUUCAAAUACACAGAAUAUACAUUGCUUGAUAAUUUGCCUCUGAAAAGCCACACCACACGCUAUUAUCUUGACCACUCUGAUGCUAAGAAGAUUCCUACUUACAGCAAAGAUUCCAGCCAGGAGAAAGUAGUUGAAUUUAUUCCAUGUAGCUCAGAUUCUCAUCCUUAAGAGCUAAUUGAUUCUGUCCCAUAUAUUCCUUUGAAGGGCAGUUGGUGACAAUUACUUUGGGGCAGAAGGUGCUUGUCUUUGGGAGACCUCAAUGAACCUAAAGGCUUCUUCAAUUUGGAGAAGCACAACAUUGCCCAGGAUAGGGGUAUGGUAGCAGAUGAUUACAGAAGCAGAACAUCUUUGGUUGCCUGGCAUUGUGUACCACUUAUUUUCUUUUUUUUUCCUAUCUCUCUGUUGCGAGGAAUCUGCUCACUCCAAUAUAUCACUGAGAUGCGUGAUGUGCCCUGCAGGAUCCCGCAAGGUACAAACCCAGGAACCUGAGAGGAAGCUUCAAAUGUGACGUCAAGAGGAUAAUGAAGACACAGCUGUACCCACAUUUCCACUGUGGUGACACUUCGUGGUGCCUGUUGUAAGAAUCACUUGCUGGAGGAGACACAAGUCCUUCUGAAAGCUGGUGCUCCAGGCACCACGACACUGGGGCUCCAUUUCUGAGGGAAUGGAAGAGAAAAGGGAGUCACCAGGAGAAGGUAACCGAACGGAGACUGAUGAACACUGCAGCUCUCUUUACGUGAUCUCUGAAGACAACAUUGAGGGCUACAUGUCUGUAAUCCUCACAAGUUCCCACAAGUGUGUCAGCGGGGUUCCUCAUUAAAAUUUGGCAAGGACUUACAACAAUAACUCACUGAAAGAGAAAACUAUAAAACAUUAUUAGUAAUAGAUCA